AUAAAAAAUACCUAUAGAUAUGCAUUUAAGUUCUAUUCAUCUUGUUUGCUCAACAAGCCUAUAUGUAUAUAUAUAUAUCGAUGUUUGUUUUUUUAUAUCAAGUUAUAAUAAAAACAAUUUAACAUUAGACUGAAGGAUUACUCAAUACUCUUGUAAAAGUGCAUAUUUAUUAUAAUUUACAAGAAUAGUGGAGACAGUAACAUCAAAGUUUCAACCUGCUGGCCUUUUUUGGAUUGUCUGAUCAAAGCUAGAAAGUUGAUAUUUCAAAGUCACUCUUAUCACUAUUCUUGUAAAUGCAUAAUUUUAUACACACACACAUGAUGGAUAUACAGAUAUUCUCUGUAUACACUUAGUGGUACUCAAAAGAUUUAAACUUGGGGGUAUAGAAAUAAAUUUAGGGAUAAGCAAGUUAGAAGAUCAAUGUAUAGAGUAUAUUAAAUACAUGAAAUACAAAAAUGUGUGUAUAUGUAUAAAUAUAGAAAGGUCCAACUUACAGGAAAAGUUCCAUAUAGAGAUAGGGAUCUCAGUCAGACCUUUUUUAUAUAUAUACAUAUAUACAUUCUUUGUAUUUCAUUUAUCUAAUAUACUUUACAUAUAGAUCUGUCUAACUUGCUUAUACCUACAUUUAAUUCUAUAUAUAUGAUGUAUGUAUAUAUCUGUGUAUGUAUAUACACACGCACACACAUUUGUAUGUAUGUAUUAUGCACAGAAAUAGGGCAAAACAAAAUUCUGAUAUAAAAGAUGAUUAUGAUGAUGACAAUAAUAAAAUAAUGCAUAGAGUUUAUCUGACUCUAGCCAUUUUAUUUAAAGUAUUGAGCAUAUUUUUACCCUAAGAAAUUCCACACCAAUCUUUUUUUUUUUUUUCCCCUUUUCACAAGUUCAUGAAAUUGGCAUUUCUUUCUUAUAUAAUGUUUUGUCCUUUUGUUCCAUAUUUUCCCCUUUGACUAAAAUUGGUAAAUCAAUUAAUAGUCAAAAACAGAGCAGAUGACUACGUACCUCCUCACAAGUAUUUUAGUCCCAUUGCUCUACUAAGUUAUGAAGUCUCGUCAGAGUCAACUUUGCCUUUCAUCCCAAUGUGACCAAUAAAAUAAAUACCUGUAAAAUACUGGUGUCUAUACACUUGAUUAUAUAUAUAUAUAUAUAUAUAUAUAUAUACUCUCCUCUAUAAAACUGGCCUUGUACCUAAGAAAGAAAUCAAUAUUUUUCUCUCACUAAAUCUUUGAAAUAAAUCACCUGUUUUUUUUCCCCUAACUUUGUAAUCGAUGUAAAUACAGUUUUUCUUUUUUGUUGUUAUUUUUAUACCUAAAUCUAUUGUAGUUGAAUUCUAUCACUAUUGUUACAUUACCUGUAGCAUAUUUUGAUAAAAAUGUAAAUACUUUCUUUUAUCCAUGAUAAAGUACUCAAAGCAUUUUCUUUUUUUUUAAUAUAUAAAUAUAUAUAUAUAUAUAUAUGAGGGGAAGUUAAAAAUUAUCCACAUUUUCACCAUAUCUUUAUUAUUGUGUCACAAGGCCUCCUGCACAUAUGUGCUUAUACUUGGUACUACUGUGGUCACAUGAUUGAAAUUUGAGCCUAAUCGCAUCAUUUUUCUUUCUGGCUUUACAGUGUAGGCAUGGCUGCUCCACUAGGAAUGUGCACCAAUGCAGAACAAAGAGCAGUGAUCCGAUUUCUCUGGUCGGAAGAUGUGACAGGUGCUGGAAUUCAUAGGAGGCUUUUAGCACAAUACUGGGACAGUGCACUACUGAGUAGAAAUCUGUGUGGGAGUGGACUGAAACCUGACACACAAAGAGGUAGCAGGACGCCCAUCAACCUCCACCACUGACGAGAAGAUUCAGCUAGCUUGAACAGGUUCCCCAUUACCAUCUCUCGGAUCACUCCUCUUUGUUCUUCUUUGGUGCACAUUGCUAGUGGAAUGGCCAUGCUUACACUGUAAAGCCAGAAAGGAAAAUGGCACAAUCAGGCUCAAACUUCGAUCUAAUGACCACAAUAGUACCAACUAUAAGCAUGCACAAAAGGCAGUGUGACAAUAAUUAAGAUAUGUUAUGGCAAAAGUGCGGAUAAUUUUUGACUUACCCUCAUAUAUAGGUAUUGUUACCAUUUUAAUCCCCAUCUCUGUUUAGUUGGUUGCACACCCAAAUGUAUGGUAUCUUAACACUAUACAACAAAAUUAUUCAUUUGUUAAAUGAUAUAUAAACGUUUUCAGCAAAAUUGAUGUAAUAUACUGUAGAUCAAACAAAAUAAUUAAUUCUGUAUAAUAAUAUAUGUAAUUAAAUUAAAUAUUUUGAAAACUAACCUAGAAUCAAAGAAAAAGAAUAAACACAUGCUUUUAUUUUAAAAUUAAGUGUGGAUGCAAAUACAAAUGGCACACACCACAGAAUAUUAAAAUUGGAUGUUAAUUUUUUUUUUUUUUAGAAUUCUAUGUCACAUACAUUGUUUGUAUUUGCAUCCAUGGGUUCAUUUAAAAUAUAUAAUUUUAUGGUUAAAACUCCUAUGAAUAUCAUCUGAUAACUAAUUUAUGUUUUCAGACAAUUUGAGUUUCCUGAAUAUAGAAUGCAGUCAAGUUUAUAAACUAUUUAAUUAGAAUAUUUACAAACUAUAUAAAUAUACAGGAUUAAUCAUCCAUCUAAUGAUGUAGAUUUGCCAAAAAAAGUUUAGUAAACAAUUUAUUUGAUUACCACAGAAUAAAUGAGAAAUCUAUUUCUAUUAUACACUGAUAUAGUUGGACACUUGUUCUCACUACGUGUCAGCUGUUGUGCUCUGUAGCUCUCCUCUGGUGCCUGUCAUACUGAGUAAUCCUUUAUAAAUCCAUGAGGAAGGAUUGUUCUAAUUUUGUUGUCCAUACCAGGAUGUACUCCAUUUCUCUUGCUUGUACCAUUGCUUACUCUUCUACUUGAACCAGGGUAUAUACCGAAUGACUAACCCAGGAACUAAGCACAUACCCAUUAGCUGAAUCACCCCACUUAACAUUUAUAUUUACUUUCCCAUUGUUCUGUAAGGUAAUUAGAUAAUGGCAAUUAGGAGCUUUAAAACCUAACUUUUUAUUAAGUCAAUAGGUUUAAUGCUUUUUUUUCUUCUUUUAUUAAUAACUCUCAUACGGUGUUCAUCUCUACACUAACCUUAUUCAAGUGGUUAUGUGGUUAUCAAGAAUAUGCAUUAAUUCUCUUAGUUUGCUUAUUUUCAGUGUUGUUUUCUAUUAUUUUUUUGAUUUGAUUCCACAAGGGUGAUCUUACAUUGGAGGCAUUUUGGAAAAUUUCAGAAGUGCUGUGGAAGAAACACCGACGGGAUAGUAUUGAAAGUAGGUUUAAUCUUGUGGGAUAUCUCUUUCAAACAAAACCUCCACCAGGAGAGAUCAUGAUUCAGAGACCAAGAAUUCUGUGUGUUCCAUCUCAUGCAGCUGUGGUAAUGAAUGGAAACAUGAAACCAAAUGCCUCCUAAAAGUAAGGCUAGAAGAAUAUCAUAAACCUGUAACCUGUAGGGUGACAGAAAAAUUGGAUAUGGAUAAUCAUUUAUUGGGUUAAAAAGGAGGUCAGAAAUCCUUGUGGAAGUAAGUCAGGAUAAUAGGAACUGAGAUUUGAAAAUAGGAUGACUAAAAGAAACAGUGCAUAUACAAAGCCUAGAUAACCUCUUCAGUAGGCCUAGCAUAGAGAUGAAUGCUCUAUAGAAGUUUCUAAUUAAGAAGAAAGAAAUCUAUGACCAUAAAGGAAAGUGAAACUUAAAGCUCUUAAUAUCUAUAAACUAACUAAGGUGGUGAACUGGUAGAAUUGUUAGUAUGCCAGGCAAAAUGCUUAGUGGUAUUUCACCUGUCUCUAUGAUCUGAGUUCAAAUUCCACCAAGGUUGACUUUGCCUUUCAUUAUUUAGGAGUCGAUGAAAUAAUUACCAUUUGAUCAGUGUGGGCGAUGUAAUCAACUUAGCCCCUCCACUGGAAUUGCUUGCUUUGUGCCAAAAUUUGAAAUCAAUAUCUAUAAUCUCAGGACAGUUUGAUAUUGAAUAUAAAGAAUGACUAAAUGCCAAAUGAUAAAUGAAGUGAUUAGCAUGAGUUUAAUCCGGUCAAGCCAUAUUUACUCAGGUUCAUUUAGACCAGGUAAGUGAUAUCAUAAAUACAAGAAUAAAUGAUAGGAAAAUGUCUUUGGUAUUAAUAAGGGAAUGAAAACAACCUUCCCUUGAGGAUUUAAUUAAUGGUUCAGACAGAAAUUCCAAAAAUGUUACCAAUGCAAGACAGCUGAAAAGGCCUAGAGAGUGUAGGGGUCAUAGUGUUGUGACUAAUAUGAGAACACUAGUUUGAAUAUAUUAAUAAAUAAUAAUGAUAAUUCUUCAUCUCAGGAAUUCAGAUGAAAUUUAUUUCUGUAUAUGACUGCAUAUUUGGUCUUUAUUGCUUCAAAAUCAUGUUUGGGAUGGUGGGGUUAAUCGUAAAGUAGAUCUAGAACAAGACUAAAUAUAUGUUUUUAUACAUAGUAAUUUUACCAAACACACAGUGUCUUUGUUUAUUUUUGAGUUUUAAUCUCACCCAUUCCCUAAAAAAAUAUCAUUUUAUAUGUUUUAGUAUACUAAUAUUAAUAUUAUAUGAUAUAUACAUAUAUAUAUCUCAUUGGUGAGUGCCAAAAUACAGGGGUAAGUUCUCAGCAAACCAACCUUACAAUUUGAUUUUCAUUUUACAGCUAAAACUUUUUCUUCUUUACUUACAUCACUGGUACCCAUAAUAAAAAUACAAUUGCAGAACCACAGUCAGCCAGUUCUCACAUAAACAGAAUGUAGUUUUACAGGCGAAACUGCUUUACUUCAUUAACAUUAUGGAUAUUUUAGGAAGGGACACAAAAGUCUAACUCUCUCUCUCUGAUAACAAAUCUUAGAAACAAAUAUUAUAUAAUUAGUAAUUGUUUGCUUUUUAUUCUAAUUAGUUUUAUCUAUAAUAAAUUAAACGUUUCCAACGUCAACUAUGACUUUCUCACUCAGAACAAUAAAAUAACAAUUUUAUACUGAAAGUGAAUCUAAAUUACUUUGCCCCCCCCCCACCUCCUCAUCAUCACCCUAUACUCACAAAACCUGGCCAA